UACGGGGGGUGCGAGCGUUGUCCGGAUUCACUGGGCGUAAAGGGCGCGUAGGCGGCCCGGUCAGUCGGUCCUUUAAGAGCGGGGCUCACCCCCGUGGGGGGACCGGGACGGCUGGGCUGGGGCGCGGCAGAGGGGGACGGAAUGCCGGGUGUAGUGGUGAAAUGCGUAGAGAUCCGGCGGAACACCGGUGGCGCAGGCGGUCCCCUGGGCCGAGGCCGACGCUGAGGCGCGAGAGCGCGGGGAGCGAACCGG
rnacentral:rRNA from 1 species